UGAUGGCCAUAUCUUGGUGAAACAUAGAUUCUUGUACGAUCACUGAAGUUAAGCAAUAUCAAGCCUGGUCAGUACUUAGAUGGAUAACCACUUGGGAAUACCAUGUACUGUAAG